UCAUUUUCCAACCCUAUCCAUUUUCUCUCUCGGUCACGGCUCUUCCUCCACCAUCGUAGCCCCCUUCUCCUUCAUCUAUCGUCUCCUCUCCUCACUCAGCCUCCACCAUUGCCAUCGCCUCCUCCUCCUCCUCCUCCUCCUCCUCCUCCUCCUUCUCUCAUCGACAUCCCCUCCUUCGCUUGAUCUCGACCUUCUCCACCGAAGAUUAGGGCCCAGAAUAAUAGGGGUUAUUUUUUAGAUCGCGUGAUGCAAGCAAAUGUCGAUGACGGCAGUGAACUUGCUUGGAUUCUUGGUUCGCUACUUAAUUUCUGGUUUCGAAGUCAUCUUCUUCAUUGCUUAGAUUCUUGCUUUCGAGAUUGAGUUCUUCGCUGCUUAGAUUAAUGAACUUUCUUGUUCUUAUUUUCGUUUAUUGGGAUUCUGAUAGUUGUUCCUCUAAUCUAAUUCGGGUUUGAGAUGAAUUUUUCGGAAUAGCUAUUCUUUCCUUGGAGAGAAGAAAUUUUCACAGUUUGGAUAUCGAUUUAAAUAUUGUCAUUUUAUUUGGUGUUUUCAGUCCAGCCACGUUGGCGGCCGCUUGAAGUUGAAGGUGGUUGGUGGCAAUACUGAGACUUGUGAACGGUUUUUUUUUUUUAAAGGGUAUUUUAAUCAUUUCAAAAUAUCCAUUUAUAUGCCAAAUGUAUUCUUAAAUUUUAAUUUUGCUUUCAUUUUCACCUAUAAUUUUUACCUUUACCUUCAUCAAAAACACUUCUCUGUACAAACGAGGCCUACAUUUUGAUGUGGUGCGGGGGCAGCUAGUGGAAGUGAAGGGGGAUAACCGGAUAAGACGGCUUUUGAGUUUUGAAGGAUGUUCAUUGUUCUCAGGCGAUACCCUGCAAGCAAAGCACGAGCAUAUAUGAGGUCGUUGGGUCCCACGAUUCUGAGUGAUAAAAUAUUUUAGCAAUUUAUCAGGCAUUUCUUUAAAGGGAGGCCGCUCCUCAAUGCUUAAAUGGUCGGUGGGCCCAUUGCUCCACAUUUCUUGACUCUGUCAUCCAAUUGUCAUCAUAGAAUUAAUAAUUAAUAUUUCAUAUUUGAUAUAA